CAGUAGAAAAAAAACUGCUAUUGUUGUCAAACUAAUAGAAAUCAAAUGUGAAACCAGGUAUUGUAGAGCUUUUCAGACAGCAGUUGAAAUCUAGAAUUCAAAAGAAUGUUUCUUUUUUUGCGUUGUGAUAUUUCUUCAAGGACAGUUUUUCUUUGUGUAAUAUCAGCACAUUUUAAACAAUACAAACGAAAAGCUAAUGUUUGCUUAGGAAAAAUUGUAACCAAUGAUUUUACUCUAGC